rnacentral:rRNA from 1 species
AUUGAACGCUGGCGGCAGGCCUAACACAUGCAAGUCGAACGGUAACAGGAAGCAGCUUGCUGCUUUGCUGACGAGUGGCGGACGGGUGAGUAAUGUCUGGGAAACUGCCCGAUGGAGGGGGAUAACUACUGGAAACGGUAGCUAAUACCGCAUAACGUCGCAAGACCAAAGAGGGGGACCUUAGGGCCUCUUGCCAUCGGAUGUGCCCAGAUGGGAUUAGCUAGUAGGUGGGGUAACGGCUCACCUAGGCGACGAUCCCUAGCUGGUCUGAGAGGAUGACCAGCCACACUGGAACUGAGACACGGUCCAGACUCCUACGGGAGGCAGCAGUGGGGAAUAUUGCACAAUGGGCGCAAGCCUGAUGCAGCCAUGCCGCGUGUAUGAAGAAGGCCUUCGGGUUGUAAAGUACUUUCAGCGGGGAGGAAGGGAGUAAAGUUAAUACCUUUGCUCAUUGACGUUACCCGCAGAAGAAGCACCGGCUAACUCCGG